UUAAAAAAAAAAUUCUUGAAAUAGAAAUUUUGAGAAAUUAUAUUUUAAAAAUACAACAUAUUGAUUACAAAAUUAAAAAGAAUACUAAUCUAUCGAAUUCUUCUUAUCCUAAUUUCUAAAUCACAACCCCGAAAUGUACAAUAUUUUUCUAUAAAAAUGAAAAAUAUAAUAAAAUAUAAUUUUUGAGAAUUUUAUUUUAAAAAUACAAUUUAUUGCUAACUCUCUUUCACUAUAUGUUCACUGUGUAACUUGCAGUAACUGAGUGAAGUAAAAAAAAAAACUGAGUGAAGUAAGCCUUUACCCACUCUAUGGCAGAAUCCCAUCUCACUUCUCAGUUCUUCCUCUUGUCUAAGCAUGUUCUGUAGUUGAUGUUUUCUCUCACCCAAGAACGAGAAUUUAAAUCGCAGUAGAUGACUUUUUUUUUCAUUGUGUCUCAACAAGCCGUAACUCCCGUAACCCCAACACCCAUCACAACAUUGUUUAAGCAGCAUGAAGGUCAUCUCUGGUGGUCUUGGCACAUGGAACAUCUCAUAAGUGAAGUAAGGCAGAGCAGAUGCAAGGAUUUCAAAGAAACUAUUGUUUCCUGUAUCUUCAACACUUUUACUGCCAACUGAUUCAUUUCUUCUCUAUCUU